CGGCGGCGUGUCGCCACCCGGCGGGCUCGGGCUGUAUGCUCCUAGGGCGUCUACUAGGGCACCUCCUAGAUGGAACGCUCCCUUCACAAGCCUGGAAGACGAGUUCAACAUAAUGACGGCGCCAUCAGGCCCCGACCACGUGGUGCUGCUCGACGACGGUGAGUAUCACCUGUAUGAGAACCGCCUGAUGCCAGAACGCUUCUUCCAAUCGAGCGUGAUCACGUCCGAAGCGACUGCGAUGGACACAGCCACCUCCGUCGGUCCCGUGGUGGAGCCCGACGACAUUGCGCCUGAUAAACAGGCUCCCGAUCUUCAUUCCCCGUGAUGCUCGCCCCCCGCGCCCGGCCCGAAGGACCACGAGCCCGGGGCAACGUACCAGGAGCCCGGGGCAACGUACCAGGAGCCGGGGGCGACGUACAAGGAGCCGGGGGCGACCGACAAGGAUUCAGACAAGGGGUGCGCGGGGGCGACUGUGCUGCGGUGGACGCCGGCGCCGUUGCCGCACUGGCGGCCGGUCUCGCAUCGGACUGUGUGAUUUUGAUUUCAAUUUCAAAUUCAAUUCGACGUCUUCGCACCGUCUGAAUCUGGAUUAAGCAAACGUAUUGUUAUUUUGCCUACUCUAAUUUCAUCUUGGCCCAAAGGUUAACUGGAGGAGAACGCCAUACGGCAUCAAGUUCAACUUUUGUACCUUGUUCAAUGUGCAAAUAGGGUGCGAUUUCCGACUGUAAGCAAAGUAAUAAAAACAAUCUGCCAAAAAAAAUUGCUUUUGGCGCAUAAGAGGUACCUAAUAUAUUUCAAAAUAUUGAAUAGGUAAUUAAUUUUCUAUGUCACCACUUGCUGUAAAAUCUAGCUUGAAAAUACUUUGAACAAUGCAUUAUAAUUUCAUUUAUGUUUUUAUUUUAAUUCAGACGAUCUGUAGACGUUAACAGCUUCGAUUAGUGGAAUUUUUAAUCGUGAAAAAGCGAUAAGUAAUUUGAAAUCUACUUAUAAUUUUGUGGCAUAUAAUAAUUUACUGGUCAUAUUGUUUAAGCUAUGUAGCAAUAUUUAUGUUACAGGCGAUGUUUUUAAACUUUUUGGUGGUGGUAAUUUAGUAUUCAAUUUUUGUAAUGGCGGCGAAUAAGCUAGGAGGGGGCUAAAUGUAAAUAUAAUUAGUAUAAAAUGGUCGAGGCGUCGGCAACGUAGUUGAACAAUUUUUAGUGUUAUUGGUCGCCUGCAGUUCCCAAAUUUUCUUUUAAAAGUUACCGAAAUUAUGUACAAGAACUCUAUUAAAAUUUCUUCAUGGAUAACUUCCAAGUUAUUUCGCCAGAGGCGCUAGCGGACUCUUGCACCUAGUGACUUUGCCCUGUCGGCUUUUCAAAGCGCCAUCUACCAAUGACAUAGGAACUACAGACCACCAAUAUCGCUACCAUUACUACAUUUAAGGCGGUAACAAAAUACAAUACAAUACUCCAACGAUAAAUAUGUAAAAAUAAUGCUACGAAAAAUUAAAAAAACAACAUAAUUAUAUUCUAAUAUUUUUAUAGAAUAUAAAAGUAUGAUAUGAUCAAGCCUUCCAGUAAUUUAGUGAAGUUAAUGAAAAUUCAGCUUGUAGCUAUUAUUUUGCUGGGCUGUAAGACAGGAAAGCGGAAUAAACAAAAUGCUUCCAGGACAAGCGUCAAAAUAAUAAUUAUUUGACGAAAGUGUGAUAUUAUAAGUUGUUUUCGUUUCGUUGUUGUGUGUUUUGUAUUGAAGAUAGAAUAAGCGGUAUUAGAAUACUUUUUUUUAAUUUAUUGAACGAAUAUUUAAGAAAGACGAGCCUUGCUUAAGAGAUUAGUUUAGUUGUAUUAUUAGUGGCCAUGAGAUUGCGGAUUACUGUUGUUUUGGUUCGACUAUUUAUUUAUUACAGACAAUGCAACAUCGACGUACGCACAAAUUUUAGAUAAUGGCAACUAAUGCACAAAAUAUGUAUGACUUAUUAUGAUAAUAAGUUUUAAGAACAUUCAUAUGAUCUCAAAACAGUUGCAUAAUGAUUAAGAUUUGCGACAGCGGAUCGAAAACCACAGUAAUUCGUCGUGUAGUUCGACAAUCUUCGUCGAGGGACAUUUUAUAGGUGCCUUUCAUAAGAAUAAAGUAACGUACUUUUAGAGACUUGUAAAUUGUAGUGUUCUUUUAAUAAAUCCAUCCGCUCAUACCUGUAACUUUGCAAUUCAUUAAUACCUACCUAAACUUAAGAUGAUGUAUUGUUUUCUGUAACCAAAUUAAAGUUAAGCAACUACAGUUAAGGUCUAAUGUAAAGUAUUUUGGUUACAGAAUUAAAGUCGAUACUAUUCUUUAUCUACGAAAUCCUAGUGAUUUAUUGUACUUAAUUAAUUUCAGUCAUUUUUUGCGUACCGUGGCCAUACGAGAAAAGCUAGUCAUUAGAGUUACAAUGUAAAUUUAAUAUAACUUAAAAUGAAAAAAUAUUUACAUUAUAUUACCCCUUACGCUUAUUAGUAAGGGGUUGAACCUAAAAUUGUGGCCAAAUUACACUUAAUAAAAUCCAAAUAUAUAUACACGAUUUUUAAUAGGUCUAGAUGUAUAAGUACUUAGUAAUAUAAGUUUGUAGUGACAAUAUGAUGAAGAAUGUAAUGUGACAGCUCGGGAAAUUUCGAGCAACGAAAGAAGAGUCUUAGUAAUUGUCAAGUUUACUCACACGAUGAUUUAAUUUACUAUCUGUAACUAUGUUUCUUAUGAACAUAUUGGACGCUGUCACAUUUAUCAUUUUGUAACACUAUUAAACUUUUAUUUACGUAGAAGAGAUUUAAUUUAAAACAAUAUUCAGGCUUUUCUUCUCAUACAUUUUAUCAAUAUGUAUUCUUUUUGUUACCGUUACCAAAUUCUUUUGAUGCCUUAAAUUACUUUUGUAAAUUAGAAAAAUAGGAUGAUAGGUAACGUAGCAAUAAAUGACAAGCAAUAAUUAUAAAUCUAAUUAUAAAGAAAACAGCUUUAGUGAAGCUAGAGAUUGGUACUGAGAGUAGUUUGAUCCUAUAUUCAUAACAAUUGACUUGCAGAAUAUUUUUUCUGUAGAAGAAAUGUGGCUGAACUGACUGGGUUAUAUAAAUUGGAAUUAAAAUUAGAAGAUCAGUUUGGUACAAUAUAACAUAGCUAAUCACAAAACAAAAACUAUAUUAGAACAUAAAAUACAGCUGUAAUAGUUCAACUAGGCAGAAAGGCGGGAAUUAGUCAAUUGCUAGCUAUAGACAUUAGAGGAUAUAAAACAGUUAGAAGAGAUAAUAGAAAUGUCACUUAUGGCUUGUUGACUACAUUGAUUCGGGAAACCUACACAACUUUGACGUAUUGUAAAAUCUGAACGAGGUGACUUUGUCGAGUCGGUAUGGAAUAUAAUAUUGGUGACGAAUUUAAACGCUCAUUGGUGCCGAAAAUUCUAGACUGUGAUUCAAUUGUUCAUUCUGAACGUGUCUUAUAUUGAAAUAGUUGUUUUGUAUGAUUGGCAAUACGCACGGCUAGUGCUAUGAGAACACUGUAUUACUACAGAGAGGGACAGAACAUGUUGUAUGAAAUGCAUUUGUUAUUAUUGUAAUAAAGAUUUGUAUCCAUAAAUAAAUGUAAAGCAAAGAGGUGUAAUUUAACUUUUAUUUUAUUAACAGCAUUCGUAGUUUUGGUAGUAGUUUAUUAAUAGCUUUGCUAUGAUUUUUGCGUGUAAGGGACAAAUAGAACAAUUUUCGAAUACAACGCAGUUCAAUAACUAAAAUGCCUAUGCACGUUUUUCUAUGUGUCUCUUUACAUGCAUGAUUAAUUACUUUUGAUUAGCACCACUGUUACGAUAUGGAGUAAUAUUGAAAGCCUAAACAUUAUGUGCCUUAGAUACAACAAUAUUGUAUGAUAUUUAUGAUGCGUUCUAUACAACGUGCUAACUAGAAAUAAAGAUAAACGUUAUUUUGAAAGCCUGGAACUUGGAUAAUUGUCUUCAUUGUUAGUGUUUAUUUCAGCGAAGGCUUGCGUGUGGAUCUUUCAAGAUUUUCUAUCACCCAGCACUCUUCCUGAAGCUAUCUUUAUUUCCCCCCUUGUAAUUUGACCUAUAAAAUUUAGAUUUUCUUUCAAAUCCCGUUAAUUUUUCAAAAUUAUGAGAAACUGGGCACCUAACAGUCUGGAAAUUGAUUUCGAAUCCAGAGUAUAUUACAAUUAUAACCCUCAUCUAAUGUUUAUUCUACAAUUAAGUAACGCUUUAAAGCGUAGUUUGCUGAAAAUAUUAAUACUUCUUACUAUAUUGUAUAAUUUUAGUAAAUACCUACAUUAUACCCAUUUAAGUACCUAUUAUAUACUUUUACUGGCAUGUAUAUCUACUCUACGCCACAAUUGAAUUAGGCACGCUUUUUAUUUGAAAUGAUUAGUAGAUAAUCUUUCAUUCUCGCAUGGCUUUUUACUAUUACCGAUUGAAAGGUACUAUAUCUACAAUUAAAUAUGUUUUAAUUUCUAUUAUUUUCUAUUCACAUAUUUAUAAAAGUUCUUAAUGGAACUCAAUCCGUCUUAUUAUUAAGUUUGUGGAUUUCUGAAAUUGAAAUAACAUACAUACGUAAAUAGAAAAUAAUUAUAAGUAUAAUUAACCAAUAGAAGAAUACUCCUAGUUAUGAAAUUUUAGUUGAUUGUACGUGCAAUUACAAUUAAUGUUUUGUUAGCGAAUUUAUUAAUUAAUUUUAGUGUACCUACUUGUGUCCAUGACCAUAUUGUUUGUAAAUAUGUUCCGGAGUGUAUUUAUAAUUUCUAUUUGUAUAAUUUAAUAGUAGAAAGCGAAUUUAUGUACUACGUUCUUUGUAAUUUGUCCUUACCGUGCUUUCAUAUUUUUAAAUUUCUUUUUUUACAUUUUUAUUUGUAUUCAAAGUCAUAAAGGAUCAAAUGUACUAUUUGGGAAAGGAACACGCGUACCAAAUAACAUCAGUUAUUGAAUCGAAUAGUUCAUUUGAUUUAGACAUAAUAAACUAAAGAUAGACUUGUAAAAAUGUUAUAACAUGUAUUUUUAACCUAUACAUAGUAAGAUAUUUAUAGAUUUUUAGUCGUUUAAUUAUUUCGAACGACUUGUUAUAAAGAAAAUUGGUGCUUAAAGCUUAACAAAAAAUGAACGGCAUAAUAGUGUCGAGUAUGUAUUGUCAUGGGGAGUCGAGCAUUAUGACAUAGCAUGCGUUGUUAUGCUUGCAUUACAUGUGGAAUUGCUUGUCAGCCAACGUUACAUAAAAAACAAAUGAGAAAAUAAUUGACUAAUUUUGAAAAUAGAAAAUCUUGAUUAAAAAAAUAGAACUUUAUUAAAAACACCUCGGUGCAAGGUUAGAGCGUGCAAAAAAGUAGCUUCGAAAUAAUUUUGUUGUUUGACGAUUUAAUAUUAUAAAAAUAAACGAUUUCACAUGUGAAUGUAAGCAGUUAUAAUAAUGUAGGUAAACUUUGCUCAAUAUCGAUGAAAACUGAAAGUGUUACAGUUGAUGCAAUACAAACAAACAAACACA